AUGGUACAUGAGCUUAUUGAUCCGGCUACUGGACAUUGGGACGAGACAUUAAUUAGAGAUAUUUUUUGGGGAGUGGAUGCAGAUAGAAUCCUUCAAAUCCCAUUGUCAAGUGGAGAUAUGGAAGAUUUCGUUGCUUGGCAAUAUACAAAGUCACAUAAUUUUACUGUACGAUCAGCCUGCUACAUUGAGUGGAACCGUAGGUAUGGCAGAAAGUUUGAAGGAAGUAACAUACAAGGUGGUUCGGCUGCUAACCCAGUUUGUAGAAUAAUAUGGAAAUUGAAAAUCCCAGGGAAAGUCAAGGUUCAUAUGUGGCGAACGCUACAUGGUGCUAUUCCAUGUAAAUCUAUUCUUGCUAACAAGCAUAUGAAAAUUCAUACUGCAUGUCCUGUGUGCCAGGUGUAUACUGAAGACAUUCGGCAUGCUUUAUUUGAAUGUGGCCGAGCGCAGAUGAUUUGAGAAAAUCUAGGUUUAUUGGAAAAAGUUGAGAGAUCUCUGAAUGUUGAUAGGGCCGGUUCGGCUGUACUGGAGGAGUUGAUUUGUACUUUGAUUGAUGACCCACUAUAUCUUGCUCAAAUCCCUGCAUCGUGUUUGAUUGCGGUGGCUACUUGGUUCCUUUGGUGGGAAAGGAGACAGUGUGCAAAAGGAGAAAAGAUACCUGAACCUGAAUCCGCCCUAUCAAUACAAGCUCUUACUCUUAACUUUUAUCGGGCGGGCACUGUUCAACAUCCGGCAAGAGAGGUAAUGUGGGCUAAACCACCGCAGGGUACAGUCAAGUUGAAUAUAGAUGCAUCAUUUGAGUAUGAAGGGAGUACUGCUUCCAUUGGCGCGAUCUUGAGAGAUGAUGUUGGCCAUUUUAUUGCAGCUGAGGUCUUCUAUAUGGGUAAAACAAUUGAUGCAUAUACAUCAGAAGCUAUGACUAUGAAGAAGGGUCUGCAACUUGCAGAUUCUCUGAGUAUUCAUAAACUGCUCGUUCACACUGAUUAUGCAGAAUUGGUCAAGGAGAUUAAUCAAGGAGCAGUUAAUUCAGUAGCAGACCCCUAUUCUUAA
rnacentral:rRNA from 1 species